rnacentral:rRNA from 1 species
GGCACGCCUAACACAUGCAAGUCGAGCGCUCUAACCACUUCGGUGGGGACGGGAGCGGCGGACGGGUUAGUAACGCGUGGGAACAUACCCUUUUCUACGGAAUAGCCUCGGGAAACUGAGAGUAAUACCGUAUACGCCCUUCGGGGGAAAGAUUUAUCGGUUAAGGAUUGGCCCGCGUUAGAUUAGUUAGUUGGUGGGGUAACGGCCUACCAAGACGACGAUCUAUAGCUGGUUUGAGAGGAUGAUCAGCAACACUGGGACUGAGACACGGCCCAGACUCCUACGGGAGGCAGCAGUGGGGAAUCUUAGACAAUGGGCGCAAGCCUGAUCUAGCGAUGCCGCGUGAGUGAAGAAGGCCUUAGGGUCGUAAAGCUCUUUCGCCUGUGAUGAUAAUGACAGUAGCAGGUAAAGAAACCCCGGCUAACUCCGUGCCAGCAGCCGCGGUAAUACGGAGGGGGUUAGCGUUGUUCGGAAUUACUGGGCGUAAAGCGUACGUAGGCGGAUUAGUAAGUGAGGGGGUGAAAUCCCAGGGGCUCAACCCUGGAACUGCCUCUCAUACUGCUAGUCUUGAGAUCGAGAGAGGUGAGUGGAAUUCCGAGUGUAGAGGUGAAAUUCGUAGAUAUUCGGAGGAACAUCAGUGGCGAAGGCGGCUCACUGGCUCGAUACUGACGCUGAGGUACGAAAGUGUGGGGAGCAAACAGGAUUAGAUACCCUGGUAGUCCACACCGUAAACGAUGAAUGCCAGACGUCGGGUAGCUUGCUAUUCGGUGUCACACCUAACGGAUUAAGCAUUCCGCCUGGGGAGUAC